GCAAACUUGGUCAUUUAGAGGAAGUAAAAGUCGUAACAAGGUCUCCGUUGGUGAACCAGCGGAGGGAUCAUUACUGAGUUCUAAACUCCCAAACCCCUGUGAACUUUACCACUGUUGCUUCGGCGGAGUCGUCCCGGGUGCGCCUUCAGCGCGCGUCCCGGAGCCAGGCGCCCGCCGGGGGACCCAAACUCUUGUUUUUAUAGCGUAUCUUCUGAGUUACAAAACAAAUAAAUUAAAACUUUCAGCAACGGAUCUCUUGGUUCUGGCAUCGAUGAAGAACGCAGC
rnacentral:misc_RNA from 1 species